GUGUUCCCAUCACGUGGAUUGUCUACGACAUCUAACGAGCACCACAAGCCCCGGUUUAUUGUUCGGAGUUUGCUCUCCUAGGCAGACUGCCUACCACGGCUGACGAGCUCCACCUGCCCGGGUUUAUUGUUCGGAGUUUGCUCUCCUAGGCAGACUGCCUACCACGGCUGACGAGCUCCACCUGCCCGGGUUUAUUGUUCGGAGUUUGCUCUCCUAGGUGAAUUGCCUACCACGGCUAACGACCUCCACCUGCCCGGGUUUGUAAUCGGAGUUUGCUCUCCUAGGUGAACUGCUCACGCUAACGACCUCCACCUGCCCGGGUUUGUAAUCGGAGUUUGCUCUCCUAGGUGAACUGCUUUCGCUAACGACCUCCACCUGCCCGGG